AUUGAACGCUGGCGGCAGGCCUAACACAUGCAAGUCGAGCGAGCGGCGGACGGGUGCGUAAUGUAUGGGUAUCUGCCCGCUAUAGGGGGAUAACUACUGGAAACGGUGGCUAAUACCGCAUACUAUCGGAUGAACCCAUAUGGGAUUAGCUACUAGGUGGGGUAAAGGCUAACCUAGGCGACGAUCUCUAGCUGGUCUGAGAGGAUGAUAAGCCACACGGGGACUGAGAAACGGACCAGACGACGACGGGAGGCAGCAGUGGGGAAUAGUGCACAAUGGGAGAAAGCCGGAGGCAGCCAUGCCGCGUGUAUGAAGAAGGACGUAGGGUGGUAAAGGACUUUCAGCGGGGAGGCGUUACCCGCAGAAGAAGCACCGGCUAACUCCGUGCCAGCAGCCGCGGUAAUUC
rnacentral:rRNA from 1 species